UGGGGAAUAUUGGACAAUGGGCGCAAGCCUGAUCCAGCCAUGCCGCGUGAGUGAUGAAGGCCUUAGGGUUGUAAAGCUUUUUCACCGGUGAAGAUAAUGACGGUAACCGGAGAAGAAGCCACGGCUAACUUCGUGCCAGCAGCCGCGGUAAUACGAAGGGGGCUAGCGUUGUUCGGAUUUACUGGGCGUAAAGCGCACGUAGGCGGACUAUUAAGUCAGGGGUGAAAUCCCGGGGCUCAACCCCGGAACUGCCUUUGAUACUGGUAGUCUUUAGUUCGAGAGAGGUGAGUGGAAUUCCGAGUGUAGAGGUGAAAUUCGUAGAUAUUCGGAGGAACACCAGUGGCGAAGGCGGCUCACUGGCUCGAUACUGACGCUGAGGUGCGAAAGCGUGGGGAGCAAACAGG
rnacentral:rRNA from 1 species